GAUGAACGCUGGCGGCGUGCUUAACACAUGCAAGUCGAACGAACCUUCGGGUUAGUGGCGGACGGGUGAGUAACGCGUGAGAAUCUGCCCUCAGGAGGGGGAUAACGGCUGGAAACGGCCGCUAAUACCCCAUAUGCCGCGAGGUGAAACGAGUUUUCGCCUGAGGAUGAGCUCGCGUCUGAUUAGCUAGUUGGUGAGGUAAAGGCCUACCAAGGCGACGAUCAGUAGCUGGUCUGAGAGGAUGAUCAGCCACACUGGGACUGAGACACGGCCCAGACUCCUACGGGAGGCAGCAGUGGGGAAUUUUCCGCAAUGGGCGAAAGCCUGACGGAGCAACGCCGCGUGAGGGAUGAAGGCCUCUGGGCUGUAAACCUCUUUUUUCAAGGAAGAAGAUCUGACGGUACUUGAAGAAUAAGCCACGGCUAAUUCCGUG
rnacentral:rRNA from 1 species